CCUGGAGUUUGGAAUGGAGAGCAAUGGACUCACUAAGGAAAGCUGGAGCGAAGGAGAGAUGAGCCAGAGAGAGGAAAAGAUGUGGAGGACAAGAAGUGAAAUGCCUGAGUGGACAGCGACUGAGCUGAGGGUAUGUUUGGUUUGUGCGUGUGUGUGUGUGUGUGUGUGUGUGUGUGUGUGUGUGUGUGUGUGUGUGUGUGUGUGUGUGUGUGUAUGAGACAUAACACAUAUUAUUGACAGCUGCAAGUGGAUACAGUUCUUCUUUUCCUUGGAGACAUUUUAUCCUAUAAAGGGGAAUGUGUGUGUGUGUGAGAGAGAGAGUGAGUGAAAAGACAAGCCCUUUCCCUCAUGCCAGAGGUCCAGGUGUUGUCCAGGCCUGCGGACUCAUCCUACAGGAAUUGACCUGCAGCUAACUCAGUGUCUGUCUGACAGAGGGCCACAUCUGCGUGGAGGCGCCUGUGCACCCUGCUCACGACACACACACACACACACACACACACACACACACACUCUCUCUCUUACACACACACACACGCACUCCCUCACACACACAACACCAGGCCCUCACUGUCUGUCCUGAGCUCUCUGGUCCUCACAUGCCCUCAGGAGCUGUCCAGUGCAUUCUCUUGUUUUGUUUUGCGUGCCUUUGCAUUUCACACUAUGCUUUAUUCGAUGACCUGUGUAUGGAAAUCUGAAGUUCCAAUGCGCCGUGUUAUUUUUUUCUGGUCCUGUUGUGUAUGUAGCUCUGUAUGUGUGCUUCUUCUUGUAAUUUGUUGUAUUUUUUUAAAAGAGCUAAGGCAUAUGGUAGCAUUGUUAGCGCUGGCUUUGCUUUCAAGUAGUUGUAUAACUGAUACCGUCUUCUUGUUCCCAAUUUACUUUUAGGUUCAGUUAUCAUCCAUUUCAUCAAUUUCACAUUAGUCAUUCCAACAGUUUGUCGGUUUCAUAUUGUGACAGCUGUUUGUAUUUGCACUUACUUUUUCAACCAUCACGCUUGCCAUUGUAAAUACUCAUUUUACACAAACAACAUUAAACGUCAUUUUUCCUCGUGUUGGAGGAUUCCUUUAAUAGUGAUGAUUAUUGGGAUAUUUGGGAAUUCUUGGGAUUAUUGGUUU
rnacentral:lncRNA from 1 species